rnacentral:rRNA from 1 species
UACGUAGGGUCCGAGCGUUGUCCGGAAUUAUUGGGCGUAAAGGGCUCGUAGGCGGUUUGUCGCGUCGGGAGUGAAAACACCGGGCUUAACUCGGUGCUUGCUUUUCGAUACGGGCAGACUGGAGGUAUGCAGGGGAGAACGGAACUCCUGGUGUAGCGGUGAAAAUGCGCAGAUAUCAGGAGGAACACCGGUGGCGAAGGCGGUUCUCUGGGCAUUAACUGACGCUGAGGAAGCGGAAAGCAUGGGGAGCGAACAGG